ACUUAAAUUGAAGAGUUUGAUCAUGGCUCAGAUUGAACGCUGGCGGCAGGCCUAACACAUGCAAGUCGAACGGUAGCACAGAGAGCUUGCUCUCGGGUGACGAGUGGCGGACGGGUGAGUAAUGUCUGGGAAACUGCCUGAUGGAGGGGGAUAACUACUGGAAACGGUAGCUAAUACCGCAUAACGUCGCAAGACCAAAGAGGGGGACCUUCGGGCCUCUUGCCAUCAGAUGUGCCCAGAUGGGAUUAGCUAGUAGGUGGGGUAAUGGCCGGACGGGUGAGUAAUGUCUGGGAAACUGCCUGAUGGAGGGGGAUAACUACUGGAAACGGUAGCUAAUACCGCAUAACGUCGCAAGACCAAAGAGGGGGACCUUCGGGCCUCUUGCCAUCAGAUGUGCCCAGAUGGGAUUAGCUAGUAGGUGGGGUAACGGCUCACCUAGGCGACGAUCCCUAGCUGGUCUGAGAGGAUGACCAGCCACACUGGAACUGAGACACGGUCCAGACUCCUACGGGAGGCAGCAGUGGGGAAUAUUGCACAAUGGGCGCAAGCCUGAUGCAGCCAUGCCGCGUGUAUGAAGAAGGCCUUCGGGUUGUAAAGUACUUUCAGCGAGGAGGAAGGCAUUAAGGUUAAUAACCUUGGUGAUUGACGUUACUCGCAGAAGAAGCACCGGCUAACUCCGUGCCAGCAGCCGCGGUAAUACGGAGGGUGCAAGCGUUAAUCGGAAUUACUGGGCGUAAAGCGCACGCAGGCGGUCUGUCAAGUCGGAUGUGAAAUCCCCGGGCUCAACCUGGGAACUGCAUUCGAAACUGGCAGGCUAGAGUCUUGUAGAGGGGGGUAGAAUUCCAGGUGUAGCGGUGAAAUGCGUAGAGAUCUGGAGGAAUACCGGUGGCGAAGGCGGCCCCCUGGACAAAGACUGACGCUCAGGUGCGAAAGCGUGGGGAGCAAACAGGAUUAGAUACCCUGGUAGUCCACGCCGUAAACGAUGUCGACUUGGAGGUUGUUCCCUUGAGGAGUGGCUUCCGGAGCUAACGCGUUAAGUCGACCGCCUGGGGAGUACGGCCGCAAGGUUAAAACUCAAAUGAAUUGACGGGGGCCCGCACAAGCGGUGGAGCAUGUGGUUUAAUUCGAUGCAACGCGAAGAACCUUACCUACUCUUGACAUCCAGAGAACUUAGCAGAGAUGCUUUGGUGCCUUCGGGAACUCUGAGACAGGUGCUGCAUGGCUGUCGUCAGCUCGUGUUGUGAAAUGUUGGGUUAAGUCCCGCAACGAGCGCAACCCUUAUCCUUUGUUGCCAGCGGUCCGGCCGGGAACUCAAAGGAGACUGCCAGUGAUAAACUGGAGGAAGGUGGGGAUGACGUCAAGUCAUCAUGGCCCUUACGAGUAGGGCUACACACGUGCUACAAUGGCAUAUACAAAGAGAAGCGACCUCGCGAGAGCAAGCGGACCUCAUAAAGUAUGUCGUAGUCCGGAUUGGAGUCUGCAACUCGACUCCAUGAAGUCGGAAUCGCUAGUAAUCGUAGAUCAGAAUGCUACGGUGAAUACGUUCCCGGGCCUUGUACACACCGCCCGUCACACCAUGGGAGUGGGUUGCAAAAGAAGUAGGUAGCUUAACCUUCGGGAGGGCGCUUACCACUUUGUGAUUCAUGACUGGGGUGAAGUCGUAACAAGGUAACCGUAGGGGAACCUGCGGUUGGAUCACCUCCUUACCUGAAAGAA
rnacentral:rRNA from 1 species